AACCUUUGAAGUUAAGAGGGUUUAGAUUUGGCAACAUGAAGGAGAAAAGUCGGGGAGCUUGCAUCUGUGAACAAAAUCUGAUCUGUUUUCAGAAUUAAAUUUCAAAAUUCUUCUUAAGUUUAGCUGUUCUAAAUUAUUCCUAAUCAUCAUGGGGUCCUUCCAAACACAAAUCAUUACCCUUGAAUUCAUAAUUCCAAUUCAAGGAGAGUUAGUUAGAAGUCAAGUGAAGUUAAGAGUUAAACUUAGAAAUGAAGUAAGUCAAAGCAAGUUUUCUUUCAAAGUUGUUCAAGAGUCUUUAGUGAAUGUUUUAACUUCAUUUUUAAGACUCAAGUUUCAAGUCAAGUAAGAGGGUAUAGAGUUUCAAGUCAAGUAAAGGGUAUAGAGCUUCAAGUCAAGUAAAGGGUAUAGAGUUGCAAGCCAAGUGAAGAGUCUCAAGUUUCAAGUUAAGUCAAGAGCAUAAAGUCGAGUCCAUUUCUCCAAAGUUAUUAGGGAACUAUGUAUUUCCCAAAGAAGUUUCUAAAUGUUUUUACAUUUAAGUAAGAAAGGAACAUCAAUUCCAAGAGAGCCUUUGGGCUAGAUUUUGAGUAAUUAUCUCAAAUUAAAGAAAGAUGUGUUUAAAGAACUUAUGAGCCAAAGUAUAUUUUUGGGAGUAGUCUUGAGCACCGAGUUGGGGGCACGAGUUCAUAUUAACUCAACUCUCCAUAAGAACCAUGCGCCAACAUGGGAUUUAACGGGUUAUACUUUUUAGAUGAUCACGUAAAGUUAAGCUAGUGGAUCCACUUAGUAAAGUUAGCUUCCUAUAUCGAUGGCAAGGUAUAGGAUGGUCCUUGGGCAACGUGAGGUAAAACGUUGUACCACCACUAGGGCUCAUAGUGGUGGUUGUCGGUUAAAGAAUCUCCCACUAAAGUUAUAUUACUUUAUAUAAGUAAAGUUGAGUUUGUUAUUGCCUUAAUCAUUAAAGAACUAAGUUGUUUACAAUGUUUUCAAAGCUAUAUAUAUUGCAUGUGUCUUAUGGCUUAUAUAUUGAGUUCAAUUAUUCAUGAGUCGUACAGACCCAAGGUAAGUGUUCUCCUGUAUUCCUUUCAAGCUUAAGUCGUGGUUUAGCUUUCCAGCUCGCAU
rnacentral:lncRNA from 1 species